AGAAUCAACGCUGGCGGCGUGCCUAAUACAUGCAAGUCGAACGCGAAAGUCCCGCAAGGGAUGAGUAGAGUGGCAAACGGGUGAGUAACGCGUGGGUGACCUGCCUUCGAGUGGGGGAUAACGUUUCGAAAGGAACGCUAAUACCGCAUGACAUCCUGUCUUUUAACAGACGGAGAUCAAAGCCGGGGAUCGCAAGACCUGGCGCUUGAAGAGGGGCCCGCGUCCGAUUAGCUAGUUGGUGGGGUAAUGGCUCACCAAGGCAACGAUCGGUA
rnacentral:rRNA from 1 species